rnacentral:lncRNA from 1 species
GAAUUCUUGAGUCUGAUCCUGCAUGAGGAUCGAGAAUCAGCUUAGGACAAUGCAUUGCAUGCCUCCAAUCUGUAAGUUUUUAAUUAUUUUUAAUAUUAAUUUUACAACUGAUUUUGAUUGUUAGUUUAAGUAGAUUGCAAUCGAAUCUCAUGGGAAAUAAAUUAUUGUGUAUUUCUAACAGUUAUACCAUCCCUUGAGCUGAGGAGUUUCUUGAGGCUUUCCAACUACCUCAAAAUCUUACACUUCUGCUAGAUGAUUAUGAUAGACAUCACCAUCCUCAUGACAACAAGGAACCACAUGCCCCAAUCACUCG